GCUUACGGCCAUAUCAGCCUGGGUACUCCCGAUCUCGUCUGAUCUCGGAAGCUAAGCAGGGUCGGGCCUGGUUAGUACUUGGAUGGGAGACCACCUGGGAAUACCAGGUGCUGUAUGCA
rnacentral:rRNA from 1 species